AGUGAACGAGGGAGGGAGGAAGAACACAUGCAAGUCGAACGGCAGCACAGUAAGAGCUUGCUCUUACGGGUGGCGAGUGGCGGACGGGUGAGGAAUACAUCGGAAUCUACUUUUUCGUGGGGGAUAACGUAGGGAAACUUACGCUAAUACCGCAUACGACCUACGGGUGAAAGCAGGGGAUCUUCGGACCUUGCGCGAUUGAAUGAGCCGAUGUCGGAUUAGCUAGUUGGCGGGGUAAAGGCCCACCAAGGCGACGAUCCGUAGCUGGUCUGAGAGGAUGAUCAGCCACACUGGAACUGAGACACGGUCCAGACUCCUACGGGAGGCAGCAGUGGGGAAUAUUGGACAAUGGGCGCAAGCCUGAUCCAGCCAUACCGCGUGGGUGAAGAAGGCCUUCGGGUUGUAAAGCCCUUUUGUUGGGAAAGAAAAGCAGCAGGUUAAUACCCCGCUGUUCUGACGGUACCCAAAGAAUAAGCACCGGCUAACUUCGUG
rnacentral:rRNA from 1 species